CGACAGGGGGCACCUGAUCAGCAAUGCCGCGUGAGUGAAGAAGGCCUUCGGGUUGUAAAGCUCUUUUGUCANGGGAAGAAACACCGGCUCUAACACAGUCCGGGAAUGACGGUACCUGAAGAAUAAGCACCGGCUAACUACGUGCCAGCAGCCGCGGUAAUACGUAGGGUGCGAGCGUUAAUCGGAAUUACUGGGCGUAAAGCGUGCGCAGGCGGUUAUACAAGACAGGCGUGAAAUCCCCGGGCUUAACCUGGGAAUGGCGCCUGUGACUGUAUAGCUAGAGUGUGUCAGAGGGGGGUAGAAUUCCACGUGUAGCAGUGAAAUGCGUAGAUAUGUGGAGGAAUACCAAUGGCGAAGGCAGCCCCCUGGGAUAACACUGACGCUCAUGCACGAAAGCGUGGGGAGCAAACAGGAUUAGAUACCCUGGUAGUCCACGCCCUGAACGAUGCUGACUAGUUGUUCGGGAUUUACAUCCUGAGUAACGUAGCUAACGCGUGAAGUCAGCCGCCUGGGGAGUACGGUCGCAAGAUUAACACUCAAAGGAAUUGACGGGGACCCGCACAAGCGGUGGAUGAUGUGGAUUAAUUCGAUGCAACGCGAA
rnacentral:rRNA from 1 species